rnacentral:lncRNA from 1 species
UCCGCCCAUAUCUGCAAUGAAGAAAAAGGAAAAAACAAGGCUACGUCCUUUCAAGCACAUUACUUCCAUUGUGAGCAUAGUAACAUUCCAUCUUCUCCAUAAAUAAUGACAAUGCUGGGCGAUGUGGCUCCAUCACCCAAUAUGUUUCUCCCUUUUCUUUUCUUUUUCUUUUUUUUUUUUUCUCAGGUUGAUCCCAAACUCUCUGUCCAAAACUUGUUGAAGGAUCUGUGGUCAUCUAGAAUAGCGUCUUCUCCUGGUCCAGUUUGCUUAGUGUGCUCAGUUGUUUCUAUUUUGCGAUUGGUUGGGAGGCGGUGGUAAAGGAUAACCAAACAUCAGUCACAGGAAAAUGAAGUCUCGCUCCUUUCCCCACUGUUCAACUUUGGGCUGAUGUAGCGGCAAACCAAACAUGCUCCCUCUCUAGGAAACCGUAAACCCUCCAAAUGAUGAUUCCCAGAGUUAAAUGAUUCUAUCUUUAGGGAAAGAAGAAGGUACAUACUUCAAAGAGCGGAAGAUUGAUUUUAUGAGACCA